GUAAUGGCGCAGCUGAUGCAGCCUGCCGCGUGCAUGAUGAGGCCUUCGGGUUGUAACUGCUUUUGUACGGAACGAAGAGACUCUGGUUAAUACCUGGGGUCCAUGACGGUACCGUAAGAAUAAGCACCGGCUAACUACGUGCCAGCAGCCGCGGUAUUA
rnacentral:rRNA from 1 species